rnacentral:rRNA from 1 species
ACUCCUACGGGAGGCAGCAGUGGGAAUAUUGGACAAUGGGGGCAACCCGUAGCAUCCAGCCAUGCCGCGUGUAUGAAGAAGGACCCUCGGGUUGUAAAGUACUUUCAGUGGUGAGGAAGGUUGCGUGGUUAAUACCCACGUAAUUUGACGUUAGCCACAGAAGAAGCACCGGCUAACUCCGUGCCAGCAGCCGCGGUAAUACGGAGGGUGCAAGCGUUAAUCGGAAUUACUGGGCGUAAAGCGCAUGCAGGCGGUUAAUUAAGCCAGAUGUGAAAGCCC